CAAUAGCGUAUAUUAAAGUUGUUGCGGUUAAAAGCUCGUAGUUGGAUUUCUGCUGAGAACGACCGGUCCGCCCUCUGGGUGUGUAUCUGGCUCUUUCUUGGCAUCUUCUUGGUGAACGUUGCUGCACUUGACUGUGUGGAGCGCUACCCAGGACUUUUACUUUGAGGAAAUUAGAGUGUUUCAAGCAGGCAUACGCCUUGAAUACAUUAGCAUGGAAUAAUAAGAUAGGACCUCGGUUCUAUUUUGUUGGUUUCUAGAGCUGAGGUAAUGAUUAAUAGGGAUAGUUGGGGGCAUUCGUAUUUAACUGUCAGAGGUGAAAUUCUUGGAUUUGUUAAAGACGGACUACUGCGAANGNAUUUGCNAAGGAUGUUUNCAUUG
rnacentral:rRNA from 1 species